AACACGAUCGUCCGUCGUAUAUUUUGAUUAGUACAUUUCACGUUUGUUGAUCGUUUAACGUUAGGGUUAUCGGAAAGAAACAUAUUUCGAUGGAUUCCAAAAAGAAGGAACUUUUAACUUCUACGGGCCAAUCUCUCGAAAAAAUUUCGCAUCUCUUGGGAAUCAAUUUGGUCAGUUACAUGGGCAGAUUGUACAGUCUCGCACUUGUAGUGUUGUUCUUCUUCUUCAGUCAGAUGUCAUGGCGCAACAUUUGCGUCGGUUAUUGCGAGCAACAUCUUGUCAGAAAGUUCAUGAUAACGUUGCAGUACGCUAUGAACAUUCUGUUGGUACUGACGAUAGUGGGCACAUCCGUAUUUCGUCCGAAACAAUUUGCUUUUCCCCGUCGAGAGAUGAUUAUCGUGGACUCUAUACUUGAAUCUUAUGGUGCGCGAUUCUCGGACAAGGAUAUUUUCCUUGCGAAGCAUUUGCAAGACGCGGGGACAGCGACCGCGAUACUAUUUGUCGUGAUGAAAUAUACCUACGAUAUAAUCAUAAAUAAUUCGUUUCAGUCGAUAUGCUAUUCCGUUCGUUCUUGGUACCCUAUAGUCUGCUUGCUAAUUAUGGAUGGAUUGUUCACCCAUUGCAUAAACGACAUGUAUCUGAGAUUCCGCGAGUUGAACAAGAUCGCGAUACAGCAUUCGAAAGAGAAAGCUCUGUCGGUCUCCUGUGUUGACUUGGCGACGAAUUCCAACACGUUUGUUGAAUGCAAUACUGCUCUAAUUACGAAAAUACGUGCUAUUCGUUAUAUUCAUCACGAAUUAUAUGUUUUAGCGACAAAGAUAAAUACGAAUUUUGGCUUCCAUCUUUUAAUAGCUUCAGCCAUAUGUUUGAAUGCUACCUUUGUCAACGGUCGAGAAAUGAAUUCAGGCGAAUGGCGAUAAUUUUGCAUGAUGUUUUUCUGGAAUAUAAAUCAUUGCGAGCUGAAAUGAUACAUUUUUCACUUCAGCUGGUACAUGAGGAUUUAACAUUCACUGCCUUUGGACUAUAUGAAAUUAAUAUUCCUCUUAUGUGUUCUAUUGCUGGAGCUGUAAUAACAUAUCUUGUUAUGGUCAUUCAGUUGGAUAUUACAGCAAAAUUUGGCAUUACAAACAAUAAUACAACUGUUACAUGGAGUUACACUGAGGAUAAUUCAACUUUAACAUCAUUUUAAUGACCCUACUUUUAUAGUACAGAGUUUACAUUUUUCAACUUGAAUUGUGUUAAUAUGUUGUGUGUGUUGAUAUAUAAUAAAAUUUUGAAAUUAUUUUUUGU
rnacentral:misc_RNA from 1 species